GACAUUUGGUUAAUAGGUUAGUUCCCCAAAAUGCUAUAAAAUAAUAUAUUAUUGCAUAUAAAGUACCCAAAAUUGAUAAUAUAAUAGCUAGGAACAAUAAAAAAUUAUUGAUACAUCGGAGCCGUAACAACGUGCAGCGGUUCCUUCUCGAAGGCGUAGCCUAGGAGUUGCGCAUUUUUUGCUUCCGAUGUGUCUUGUAACAUACGGUUAGUGGUUAUCUAAGGAGUUACUGUCACGAGGUAUAUGGCCUUAGGGUUUUUUCUGCUUUAUUUCCGGUUUGAAAUUGUUUUGAUGCAGAGGUUGUGGGUCAUCGCUUUUCAAAAAAUAAUAAUUAAGAGGAUAAUUGAGUUGUUUAAUAAUCAUCCUCAUUAUAAUUAAAUGAAACUUCCCCGAUAUUAUUAUCCCUCGGUUGUUGGCACUCGGUGACUCAAAGCAGGGGUGCACUAUAAUGUUUGAAGACGUGGAUAUUUCUUUCAUUUCAUAUUAUCCAACUAAUAAGCAUUGUGAGAGAAGCCAUGACUUUUCUGUUGGGGGUGUUUGAGCCCGAUCAGUUAGCCCACCAUUACUUCACGCAACGCGCAAAUUUGUUUGUCUUUAGCACCUACAAGGCCUUCGUAGUUAUUGGGUCGGCAAUCCAGCGUCCCAGUUCACUUUGCAUUGUGUGCCAGUUAUCUUAUCUGAGCCACACCAAACAAAUUCUCGCUCAAGAUUGUUGCAAUUACGGUGGGUGCUUGUCGGUACAAUGAGGGGAAUGUAAUGUCUACUAUACAAUUUUAUUCUUGUAGUCUUUGUUAGGCCUCCAAACGUAGAGUUUUGUAGGACAGUAGCAUUUCUCAAAUGGAUGACCUAAGGUUUAUCAAUCCAUAGAAGCUAGGUGUAGGAUGAUGAUGGUCUCUCUCAAACAACCCUACAAUCAAAUACAUAAAAUUUAUAUAAACAAAUAGUUUAAGUAUAUACUUAAAUGUUUAUUGACUUAAUAUAAUUAAAAACAAAUUUUUCUUUGUGAAUGAUUUGAAGGGGUGACACACACGAAACUGAAGUGUCAGUGUGUGUGUGGAUAUGUAGUUGGUUUUAUUAACUGAUCCACAACAGAGAGACGGAUGUGCGCACUCAUGAUCAUAGGACACAACUAAUUAUAUAGACGUAAUAUGUAUCAUGUAACAUUUACAUACAUCCAACUAUGGAUUUAUUUGAGGUUACUUUCAAAUAAAUAGCAAAUUAUAUAUUAAUAUUUAGCAGCGUUCAACAUUUAGUAAAUGCUACUAAAUCACUUGGAACACUUACGUUAUAGUUAAACGUUGCUAGUGAACAAAAAACAUUUACAUAUGCAAUCUUUAGUUGUUAUUUUUUUUCUUUUUCUUUGCAACUUGGAUGAAGAGAUAGU
rnacentral:lncRNA from 1 species